rnacentral:misc_RNA from 1 species
GAUGAAGAACGUAGCGAAAUGCGAUAAGUAAUGUGAAUUGCAGAAUUCAGUGAAUCAUCGAAUCUUUGAACGCACAUUGCGCCCCUUGGUAUUCCGAGGGGCAUGUCUAUUCGAGCGUCAUUAUCACCCCUCAAGCCUAGCUUGGUGUUGAGGCCUGCUGUCAAGGCAGCCUCUAAAAUCAGUGGCAGUGCUGUCAGGCUCUAAGCGUAGUAAAUCUAAUCGCUAUAGACACCUGGUGGACACUCGCCAGAACCCCCCCAUUUUUUAAUGAUUGACCUCGGAUUAGGUAGGGAUACCCGCUGAACUUAAGCAUAUCAAUAAGCGGAGGA